rnacentral:rRNA from 1 species
GAUGAACGCUAGCUACAGGCUUAACACAUGCAAGUCGAGGGGCAGCAUGGUCUUAGCUUGCUAAGGCCGAUGGCGACCGGCGCACGGGUGAGUAACACGUAUCCAACCUGCCGUCUACUCUUGGACAGCCUUCUGAAAGGAAGAUUAAUACAAGAUGGCAUCAUGAGUCCGCAUGUUCACAUGAUUAAAGGUAUUCCGGUAGACGAUGGGGAUGCGUUCCAUUAGAUAGUAGGCGGGGUAACGGCCCACCUAGUCUUCGAUGGAUAGGGGUUCUGAGAGGAAGGUCCCCCACAUUGGAACUGAGACACGGUCCAAACUCCUACGGGAGGCAGCAGUGAGGAAUAUUGGUCAAUGGGCGAGAGCCUGAACCAGCCAAGUAGCGUGAAGGAUGAAGGUCCUACGGAUUGUAAACUUCUUUAUACGGGAAUAAAGUAUCCUACGUGUAGGAUUAUGUAUGUACCGUAUGAAUAAGCAUCGGCUAACUCCGUGCCAG